GAUAUCUUGGAGCGCCUGGCAGAGGCCAUGUUUUGCUACACAGCAUACCCAAAUGAUGCCCAGAGGUCUGCAGUAGCACAGGCACUAAUAGAAAAGCAUCCCUGUUUAAAGGAGCUUGGCUCUUUUAAUGGAAUUUAUGGGUGGCAACAGAGCCUGAAAUACAAAUGUGGAAACUAUCGUACCAAACGUAAAGCAUUGGGAAGCCCUGGACUCCUGAUAAACUCAAUGAAACACAAGAUGGGAGAUGACAGAAAACCUGCCAAAAACAUCAAGAAACCAAAGAGGGCAGAAGUAAAUUACCUGCCUCAGCUCCCUUCUGGUGAAACAGACAGCAGCUUGAGAAUGUGAGGCUUGACCUAAUAGAAGCCAGCAAGAAAAGGGACGUCAAAAGCAUAAAUGACAUGAUGGCCAGGUAAUAUAGCUGGAGAAGAAUGGAAGUGGUUGUCCAGUCCCCAGAUGUGGCAAAAUUUAAAGAAAGAUGACCUGCCCUCUUUGAACCAUUCCAGAUAAAUUAAGAAUUCCGAAGGUGUGCUGCAGUUCCACUAGAAUCAGUGUUUAUGUCCCAGCUGGACAAGUACACUCCAAAACUUCUUGACCUGUUUAAUGCGAAGGGUGGAGCGGUGUGUCAACGCAUCAAGAACUUGUUAAUGGAACUAAUACAGGAUCCAAGUACCUCUGUGGUGAAGAAGAGAGAUGUGACUCU